CUCUGCCCCUUUCUACAGCAAAUGAAGCAAAUCCUUCCCCAUAUCCAUCUUCAUUUGGCCGACUAAGAAACCAAAACCCUAGCCUCUCUUGAUUUUCCCUUAACCGAUCCUAACACCCCUCUCUUAAGCACCGAUCUGCCUCUAUCAAUGGUGACGAACAGAUUCGGGCUUCAAGGGAUGACACAAACAGAUUCGGGCUUCAAGGGACGACAAUCUCGACCACGAGAUUCCUUCUACGCUCCGAUUUCAACGAAGAAGACGUAAUCUCUUAGCACAUUCGCAAGUUAAAUCUCCUGUUUUCUCUUUGUUUUCAAAUGCAUAUAAACUCUAAUGAAAGACUAAUAAAAUCGAAAGAAAAAAGGAAAAUUAAAAAUAUUUGAAUCCAAAAUCACAUUUUCAAUUUUGAUUUCUUUUUUCAAUAUACGUAUCCUCCCCAAAUCAGUUUUUACAAUGGCUUUUUAUAGCCAAAAAUGAAAUAUAAUAUUUACAAAUUUACCCUUUUUCUCCACUAUUCGAUUGCUGUUAUUCAGUUAUCUUUGCUGUCAUUUGCUGUUGUGAUUUUCGUUUGUUGCAGGUACAAAUGGAGCCAGUUGGAGGUGGUGACACAGGUGGGAUGAGGCGUGAAGAUGCAUGUGGGGCUGGCCCGAAGACAAUAGCAGUGCUGGAGGCUGCUGGAAGUUGUUGCGGCACAGGUGACCUAGGGUUUCUGCCGAAAAUUUCAUAGGUGUUUUGGGCCUGGGGUAUUUUGGGUUAUUUGGGUUAAUUGGGUUAGGUUUAAUUUAGGUUUGGGCUUGUAAUGGGUUUAUUUGUAAAAUGAAUUAUAAUUUAGACUAUAAUUUGUAUAAAGACUGUAUUUGGACUUUGAUUUUGGGUCUUUUUUUAUUUAGUUUUUUUUUGUUUUUGGUUUUCUGUAUGGGCCCGGGCGAAAUGGGCCUAU
rnacentral:lncRNA from 1 species